UAUGACCCCUCAGAUCAGUGGGUAUGACCCCUCAGAUCAAGAGUGUGACCCCCUCAGAUCAGCGGGUAUGACCCCUCAGUGGCAAACUUGCCGUUUCUCAGUCAUGUGUUUCAUUCUUUCCAACCGUUUCAGAGAUGACUGGUAGCGUUCCCUUGAGUUCCGCGCAGUCCUGCCUUUAAUGAAAAUACAUGUCUGCUGAGAAACCUUUUUGCCCCUGUUUUCCCUUUCACUCCAGAGGCAGCUUCAUUAUUUUCUCAUGGGAAAAGUGACUUGAAGGAGAAAAUAAUGCGUAAACUUACAGAUUUUGUUUGUUUUUGUUGUU